rnacentral:ncRNA from 1 species
GCCCUCUGGAGAAUCCCGAUAAACGGGUGCCGAAGGUGAAAGUGGAAAAUAGUCCGCGAAUCUCUCAGGCAAAAGGACAGUGAAG